UGAGACCAUCUAGAAGAUGCAUCUAUUAAGACCAUAAAAUAUCUAAACGACCCACUAUGUGGGUGAAUAAGUCCACAAAUAUCUCCUUGUAGACGUUCCUAAAACACAUGUGACUCAAUUCCAACCUUUGUUGGUGAUGGUCUAAUAAUUAACUUGCCUUGAUAAGAAGAAGUGCAAGAAAAUUCAUUAUUUAAAAGAAUCUUUAAAUUCUUUAAUAGAUGCCCAUAUGAGUUUUCUAUAAUCCGUCUCAUCAUAAUUGAUCCAGGAUGUCCCAAUCGAUCAUGCCAAAGUACAAAAGUAUUGGAAUCAGUAACCU
rnacentral:lncRNA from 1 species